rnacentral:misc_RNA from 1 species
UUGCCGUCGUCCACUGGAGGGGGAAGGUCCCCGCCAUCGACGCUAUCAUCUGAUGGAUGCGCGAUCUACAUCAUCUUCCCACUCAUUGGGUCUCCAAUCAGAGUCGUGGUGAAUGUGGACGGCAGAGGCUGGAAGAGGGUGUCUGCUUCUCCUCGUGGCAUCAUCUGUAGAGCUAGAGGUGAAGGCAUCAUCGAUCUGCUCGAUGGUGCACACGAGGUGGAUGCGGUAGCGUUGCCAUGGGGGAAGGAGACACACAAUGACAGCAAGGCAAAGGCAAAACAGAGGGAAUGCGAAGGAAAGAUUUAUCUGGACGGCGGGGAAAGGUUCACGAACUCCAUGGCCAUUUGGACUACGUCUUUGCAUCAGCAUGGAAUCCAGACGACUGGCCAUGGGAAACUAAGACAAUGCGUGUGUUUGGUGGUCAAUGGGGAAGCAUGUUGGCACUUGCCUACAGAUAGGAGCAACAUAAUAAUGGCAGCUGUGGGUGCCCAGGGGCUACAUGACCUUUGCGGGGACGGUCCUGGCAUCGCUUCAGUGUCCACCUCGACCUCCAGGAUGGUGGCAGCGGAGCUCGACGGCGUUGUGAUUGAAGAGCUCUCGAGACUCUUCCAAGUCUGUCCUGAUCUAGAUGCCAACCAUUAG